CAAGGUUAGAUUCAUUCAAAUAAACAAUGAAAUGUAUCUAUAUCAAUUUAUACAAAUAUACUGAGAGUAAUAAACUUAUAAAUGAAGUAUCGAUUUAACUUAUAACAUACUCUAGAUAAUUGCUUGUUAAUCAUCAAAAUAACACUAUCAUCCUCAAUCUCUCCCUUUUUGAUGAUUAUAAAAUAAAGAGUAUGAGCCUAUUGAUACUUAUCUUAAAAUCAGUUUUUGAAAGGGCUUAACUUGCUGAAUUUCAGCUUUUCAUAUAUAAGAGUGAAGUCUCCCCCUAUAUCAUUCAAAUGUUGCCAAUUUGACUUUUUGAAUUGCUCCCCCUUUCAUUUAUAAUUCAUUAAAGAUGAAACUCCAAAAGUUUGAGAUAAAACAUGAGUUUCAGGUUAUGUAUCGAGGUGUGAAAGGUGCGUGCCAAAUUCU
rnacentral:lncRNA from 1 species